rnacentral:rRNA from 1 species
GAGAACGCUGGCGGCGUGCCUAAUACAUGCAAGUCGAGCGAAUGGAUUAAGAGCUUGCUCUUAUGAAGUUAGCGGCGGACGGGUGAGUAACACGUGGGUAACCUGCCCAUAAGACUGGGAUAACUCCGGGAAACCGGGGCUAAUACCGGAUAACAUUUUGAACCGCAUGGUUCGAAAUUGAAAGGCGGCUUCGGCUGUCACUUAUGGAUGGACCCGCGUCGCAUUAGCUAGUUGGUGAGGUAACGGCUCACCAAGGCAACAAUGCGUAGCCGACCUGAGAGGGUGAUCGGCCACACUGGGACUGAGACACGGCCCAGACUCCUACGGGAGGCAGCAGUAGGGAAUCUUCCGCAAUGGACGAAAGUCUGACGGAGCAACGCCGCGUGAGUGAUGAAGGCUUUCGGGUCGUAAAACUCUGUUGUUAGGGAAGAACAAGUGCUAGUUGAAUAAGCUGGCACCUUGACGGUACCUAACCAGAAAGCCACGGCUAACUACGUGCCAGCAGCCGCGGUAAUACGUAGGUGGCAAGCGUUAUCCGGAAUUAUUGGGCGUAAAGCGCGCGCAGGUGGUUUCUUAAGUCUGAUGUGAAAGCGCACGGCUCAACCGUGGAGGGUCAUUGGAAACUGGGAGACUUGAGUGCAGAAGAGGAAAGUGGAAUUCCAUGUGUAGCGGUGAAAUGCGUAGAGAUAUGGAGGAACCCCAGUGGCGAAGCGACUUUCUGGUCUGUAACUGACACUGAGCCGCGAAGCGUGGGGAGCAAACAGAUAGAUACCUGUAGUCCCGCCGUAAACGAUGAGUGC